rnacentral:lncRNA from 1 species
CAGGGUAGGGCUCCAGCUAAGCCACGUAUGCACUACAAUGGGCAACAGAAAGGUUGGUUUCCGGGCACUUCAGAGAAACCAAGGACAGCUACCCCCAGAACUCACAGUAGCCAACUGGGCUGCUCACAGGAGAUGCCUUAACUCAAAGGUGAUCAGACUCCACGGGAGACCCAGAGAAGACGUGGAGAGAGCUCAGAGGCUGUCCCGGAGAAGUCGUGGAAAGCUCAGAGGAUGUCCCAAACAAGAGAGAGCUCAGAGGCUGUCCCAGAGAAGAUGUGGAGAGAGUUCAGAGGCUGUCGUUACUGCUGCACUUGGCUGUUUUUCUUUGGAUAAUUAUUGCAAUCAAUUUUAGUGAUUCAGGUGUUAAAUCACAGUCAAGCACCUGUUUACCUAGUGGUAAAAUCCUUAAGUAAGUCAUAUUUGGUUGGGAAGAUCAAAGAAAUCACCCAGUCUCCCACAUCUGAAAUUGUGCA